rnacentral:misc_RNA from 1 species
GUGAGACAUGGCUUGCAAUGUGUCAAGUCAGUUUAAUGAAAUAAGUCCCUUAUAUAUUUCUCCUGAGAAAGAAAUAAUCCCGAUUGCAGAUGUGUUGCUUGUAUUCCUAAAAAAUAAUGUAUGUAGCCCAUGUCUUGUACUGGAAACUGAAACUUAAGUUGAGAUUAAAACCACUGGAGUUGAGCAUCUAAGGAACAUGUCCUGAGGAUAUCAUCAACAUAUACAAGGACGUAGAGUUGUGUGCUGCCAUCUUGCAAAAUAAAUGAAGAAUAAUCUGCCUUGGAUGAAGUAAAGCCGAUACUGAAGAGGAAUGAUUGGAGCCGAUGAAAUGAAGCUCGCGAGGCUUUUUUUUAAUCCAUAUAAGGAUCGAUGUAAACGGCAAACAUAAGCUGGAUGGUCUGAGUCUUCAAAUCCCAGUGGUUGAGACAUGCAUAUUGAUCCAAGUAGCCAUGGAGAAAGGCGUUAGCAAUAUCAAGCUGCUGGGUGUGCCAGUUGUGCAUGGUGGCAAUGGAAAGAACAAUUCGGACAGUAUUCAUUUUUACUACUGGGCUGAAUGUCUCAUUGUAAUCAAUCCAGUCCUGCUGGGUGAAUCCUUUCACUGCUAGUCUGGCUUUGUAGCAAUCAAUAGCACCAUCUGAUGGUCUUUUAAUUUGGAAUAUCCACUUGUUUCCCACGAUAUUUUGAUCAGGUGGUUUAGGCACUAAUGUCCAAGUUUUAU